GACGAACGCUGGCGGCGCGCCUAACACAUGCAAGUCGAACGGAGUCAAGAGGAGCUUGCUUUUCUUGACUUAGUGGCGAACGGGUGAGUAACGCGUGAGUAACCUGCCCUGGAGUGGGGGACAACAGUUGGAAACGACUGCUAAUACCGCAUAAGCCCACGGAUCCGCAUGGCUCUGCGGGAAAAGGAUUUAUUCGCUUCAGGAUGGACUCGCGUCCAAUUAGCUAGUUGGUGAGGUAACGGCCCACCAAGGCGACGAUUGGUAGCCGGACUGAGAGGUUGAACGGCCACAUUGGGACUGAGACACGGCCCAGACUCCUACGGGAGGCAGCAGUGGGGGAUAUUGCACAAUGGGGGAAACCCUGAUGCAGCGACGCCGCGUGGAGGAAGAAGGUUUUCGGAUUGUAAACUCCUGUCGUUAGGGACGAUAAUGACGGUACCUAACAAGAAAGCACCGGCUAACUACGUG
rnacentral:rRNA from 1 species